rnacentral:rRNA from 1 species
AGCGAACGCUGGCGGCAGGCUUAACACAUGCAAGUCGAGCGCCCCGCAAGGGGAGCGGCAGACGGGUGAGUAACACGUGGGAACGUGCCUUUUGGUUCGGAACAACCCAGGGAAACUUGGGCUAAUACCGGAUAAGCCCUUACGGGGAAAGAUUUAUCGCCGAAAGAUCGGCCCGCGUCUGAUUAGCUAGUUGGUGGGGUAAUGGCCCACCAAGGCUACGAUCAGUAGCUGGUCUGAGAGGAUGAUCAGCCACAUUGGGACUGAGACACGGCCCAAACUCCUACGGGAGGCAGCAGUGGGGAAUAUUGGACAAUGGGGGCAACCCUGAUCCAGCCACGCCGCGUGAGUGAUGAAGGCCUUAGGGUUGUAAAGCUCUUUUAGCAGGGAAGAUAAUGACGGUACCUGCAGAAAAAGCCCCGGCUAACUUCGUGCCAGCAGCCGCCGUAA